GACAGCUCGAUGACAAUCAGUCAAAUGAGGUUAUGUAGAUUUAGGGUGGAUGAGCAUACUGAAAUUUCAUAUACGAAUUCUGAAAUUUUCACACAUGUAGUAUGAAAAUUUCAAGGUGAAAUUGAAAUGAAAAAAAAAUGUGCAAAAGUGAAUAAUACUGAUUUAUUAAGCUAAUAUUUGUCUUAGAAGUGAGUUAAAAGAAGGAAUUCAGUGAAAAACACUGGAAAAUUCGAGAUUUAAAUCUAAUAAUUGAAUGAUUUUGUGAUAUGGUUUGUGGAAAUUAAUUGUUCCGGAAGUGUUCAUACAUCCCACACAGAAUCUCCAGGAAGUUCCUUGUGGUUGAUUCCUGGGAAAGCCGGAGUAGAAUGUUUUCAAAGAGGAGAUGACAAAAGCUCAUGUGAGCUAUAUGUACAGGACCUACAGAACAUAUAAGUCUACUGAGAAGCUCACAAACAACAUAGGAACCCAAUCCUUCAGGAGCUUUCUUCCUCAGACGCUUUGGUUGUGGUCAAAUUCCCUGAGAGGGAAGAACAUUCAAAACAAAUCGAUUGAUGAUGCUGCAGUUUGUCCAGGAGAGAUGCAAUUAUCCGGAACCACGGGCGAUUCCAACACGGCAUUCAAGAACUUCCUGCAUAGAAGUGUUUUCUUUGAGUGAAGUGAACUUUGAGUGCUUCAUUACCUUCAGCAGAACCUUUUCUUGGACUCAGUCUUACGAGAUAGGGCUGCUGUGGACUCCAAUCCGGAGGAAAAACGCAUCAUUGAACGUCUCGUCAUAUCGUCAAAGAAAAAAACAAAUACUGACAACCCAUUCACAAUUCUUCCUAUAUGCUUCCUAUUUUGAGCGGACACGUCAUAGGACAUUCUCAACAAGUGUCACGUGCUUCAUCGUGACACCUCCAUUGACCUUCGUAAAUUAUGUAUUUAUGAACAAUCUUGUGAAAAUGUUAAAAUAUGCAAAAAAAAAAACUACAAAAUGGCCAACAAAUAAACAAAAAAAUGUUACAAUUAAAGAAGAAUAUUUAUUUUUACAACAAAAUUCCAAAAAAAAACCAAAGAAAGUUGUAUGAAAAAAUCCUGGAUUUCUUCAAUGAAUGUAUUAUAAAGGUCUUAUAGAAAGCGAAGAUUUUUCUGAAAAAUCUCUGUCUUCCUCAAAGAAUGUAAUACUACUCUUUCAUUACAAAAUGUCUUAGAAAGGAAAGUUGUUUUAAUAAAAAAAUUUUUUUUCUUCCUUUACCAAUGCAAUGUAGUAAUUCAUUUCAUUAUAAAAAGUCUUACAUGGCGACGAACUAUUUUGUAUAUGUAGUUCGCAUUCGCUUCAUAUUUUUACCAAAAAUUCUUUAUGGUAAUUGAAGAUUUAAUAAAAUAAAAUUAAUUUCCCAUAUUAAAUUGUAUGAAGCGCCUUUUCAGUGAGAGCAGUGAGAGACAUUUUUCGUGAGAGAACGAGCGCACACGCAAAAAUCUAAGCGUGCUGCUCUUUCUCAUUGCUGCAAAUAUAAGCAUGCUGCUCUUUCUCAUUGCUGC